UUUGUUAGAGGUAGGAAUGAACCUGAAGUAAAUCUAGAGUAUUUGUUAGAUAGAGAAUGAACCUGAAAUAAAGGAAAUUAGAACCUUUGUUGGAUAGAAAAUGAACCUGAAGUAAAGUAGAACCUUUGUUAGAGGUAGGAAUGAACCUGAAGUAAAUCUAGAGUAUUUGUUAGAUAGAGAAUGAACCUGAGGUAAAUGAAGUAGAACCUUUGUUGGAUAUAAAAUGAACCUGAAAUAAAAGAAAUUAGAACCUUUGUUGGAUAGAAAAUGAACCUGAAGUAAAAUAGAACCUUUGUUAGAGGUAGGAAUGAACCUGAAGUAAAGUAGAACCUUUGUUAGAGGUAGGAAUGAACCUGAAGUAAAGUAGAACCUUUGUUAGAGGUAGGAAUGAACCUGAAGUAAGAGUUUAUUUUUUCUUAAGAACUUUCCGAGGCAAAUGAAGAAAAGAAAAUCAAACACAACUAAACGUGACGACAGGCUAGAAUUUCAGUGCGCUUUAUGACAUAUGGUAUUAUGUUUAUUUUGCUACAUUUAGAUUGUAUUUUCUACCAGCGGAGAUACAUACUAAUUAACGCUUGGCGUUAAGGUGUUAGAAUGUAAUUGAAGAUGAUCUGCAUGUUUUAGUCUGCUUUCUUCUCGUAAUGUUUAUGUUAAGGACAGAAAUUUAUGAGUAUCUUUACCGAUAUAUUGUUUGUGUGGUAGUGCUUGUUCAUGAGCACAUGGUUAGCAGUGUUUAGUGUUCUGAUAAUGGUAUUCCAAAUAUUGAUAUCUUGAAUUGACUUUCGAUUUGAAUUGCUGUUCUUGACUAUAUAUAUAUAUAUAUGUCUGUUUUUGAGUGUACUUUAAACGGUUCUAUCAACGUAGUGUUAACUUUGAAUGUUUGUAACUUGUACAUAUAGUGCCUGACAUGCAUGAUUUUACACAACUAAGAAUUUGCAUACCAGAAUGGUUGAUAAGAAUACAUUACAAAAGGUAUGCUAUUUUUGGAAUUGGUAAAGCUGAAAAAUCGAAAGAUUUUCAGAUUCCAGCCGAUCACUGCGUCAUCCUGUAUAUUCUAAUACUCCACAAGUGUGUGCACUCCGUGCAGGUGGGCUCAUAGUGAGAGGUUUAGUAGUAAAUGUGCUGCGAUAUUAAUAAUGACGUGUGUACAAAAUGACUACAGGUAAGGAAUAAGCAAAGCAAAUAUAUAUAUAAUUUAACGAAAAGGUGAGAACUCCGAGUAGAAAAAAGUAGCCAUCUUCUUUAGUGUGCUUUUUAAUGGUACCAUAAGACAUAAUGCAGUUUAUAUUGAUACAAAGCAUUAAGAAAAAAUAACGAGGAAUUAGAAAACUGUAUAAUGUUGUUAAGAUUCUCUAAAUAUCCAACAAGACAGCUAAGUAUCUUCGUCAGAGAAAUACUUUGAUCGCGUUGGUCCUAACUCACAUUGCUGUUUGUUUGUCGUCGUUGUUGUUGUUGUUUUAAGUCGUUAUAAAUAGUGGUUCUCUCCUCUGAUAGGUGUAUUUUUGUAUGAUCCUUUUGAAAAAAAUAGAAUCUCUAAAAUACAGGGUCAAGUAUUAAAUAGGUGAGGUUGUAAAACAUCUGAACGAGGUUGUUGAUUAUAAAAUUUCUUGUUUGAUAGCUAGAAACAAUAUAAAGUGUAUUGUAUGUUAACUUCUUUCGUGUUAAAAGAGAUUUAGUUUUAACGGAAAGAAAGGUAUGUUCUAUAUAUUAGAAAAUUAGUUUUGUUAUAUUUUAGUCCUAUCUGCAUGUUUGUGGGUUUUGGUUGGGUUUUGUUUUGCAUAGUACAUAUAAGGUGGGGUUGAAGUAUAAACACAAAACUUAAGAAAAUCUGGUUAUCACUCUUAUACGGAAUUUCUAGUUAUUAAUAAUCGUACAGAAAUAUUUAUGAUUUAUUUCCCACAACAGAGUUUUUGUCAACCGGUUACUAUUUUUAUUCAAUGGAUGUUGAAAAUGGUGAUGAGAACAAAAACUGGUAAUUCGUUUGCCGGGGAAAAGAAACUAUACAAAAGAAAACGUUGUAUCAAUGUUGCCAGCUUAGUUGCUGUAGGAAUUUUUAUUUACGGUCAACUGAGUAAACAUAUUUUAAAAUAUCUUUUUUUUUUUUUUUCAAACGCUACGUUU
rnacentral:lncRNA from 1 species